rnacentral:rRNA from 1 species
GCAAAGGUAGCAUAGUCAUUAGUUCUUUAAUUGUGAUCUGGUAUGAAUGGCUUGACGAGGCAUGGGCUGUCUUAAUUUUGAAUUGUUUAUUGAAUUUGGUCUUUGAGUUAAAAUUCUUAGAUGUUUUUAUGGGACGAGAAGACCCUAUAGAGUUUAACAUUUGCUAUGGUCCUUUUCUGUUUGUGAGGGUUCACUAGGCCAUUUAAUAUGUUUUGUUGGGGUGAUGGGAGGGAUUAAUUUAACCCCUCCUUUUUGUUAUUAUAUUUAUUUAUAUUUACUUGAUCCAUUUAUUUUGAUUGUAAGAUUAAAUUACCUUAGGGAUAACAGCGUUAUCUUCCUUGAGAGUUCUUAUCGGCAGGGGGGUUUGCG